UUAAGUUUUUAAUCUUGUUCUAUUUGAUUUUCUGAGUUUUUGUUCGGAUUUGAGAAUUAAUUUUUUUAAAAAUCGAAUAGCGUUGAUCGAUGCUACUCUAGUGUCAUUAAUGUUGGUAUCUCAAGACACGGGCUCUUUAAAAAGCCUAGUCCUUUAAUUAUUUUCUCAAAACUCCUCUUCCUAAAAAAUUAAAAGGGUGAUUUCUCCCUCAAUCUCAAGUCGAUUUUGCUGAUUUCAAACCAUAACCCCCUCAAUUUUCACUCAUAUACUUGUUUAGUUCACUCAUUCAUCCGAUCUACAAGCAUCGAGAGAUACCCUGGUGACGUCGUUUGACGCUCCUUAUUCCAAGACGAAAGUUACUGACUUUUUGCGAGAGCUCGUAUGUACAUGGGCGAGACGUCUAGAUCAGCAGCACUGACACCACCUGUCAACACCUUAGCCAACAGAUUUUCUCAUUCAUGGCCUAAAGACGAGAAUGAGAAGCUCGCAGUUGAGCGUAACUAGGGGAUAGCCCCAAAGGAUAUAUAGUCUUUUCCAAGGGGUGGGAGGAUUAUGACACCAUGUUCUACAAUGAGUGGUUUCGGUUGAGAUUCACCCCACUCGGUUCGUUGACUUUGUCACGGUAUGGGCACUGAGAGGGACGUAGUGGCAUUGAUCAAGAGGCUUGGACUGAGAACCAUGGCGACUAAAUUCUAUGAUAUAUACCCUGAUAUGGUGAGAUAUUUAUGGUUUCUGUGUGGGUUUACUACAAGAAUCCAAACCUUAAGAGAGUGUACGAGGGUUCCAUCACUUUCUGCAUCCAGGAUAUAUGGCAUACGUGUCUAUCCCCGACUUGUGCGACAUCUAACGUUUUCCAGACCGUCAUGCUGUUGGCAUCACCAUACUAGACUCAUUCCAUUGUUAGUAUAAACUCUGAAGUUUAACUGGGAUAGGAGACUAUACGCCCAGUGGGACUAAUUUGACAAACAUUUGGCAUCUCACCUUGGGUUUCUUCGUGAAAGUAAUCAACAACACCAUUUGCUGCAAGAUGGAGCAAAAGAAGGUGAGAGUUCACAAAUUGUUUCUGUUGUAUCUUUCCAUCAAGCCUCUCAUUCAGGAUCAACUAUAACCACUGUAGUUUUUUCACAUGAUAAACUUGGAAGCCCUUUUUGCUGAGUACUUGGUUUCACUAAAGACCAAGCCUUUUACCGGACCAGGUGCAAGGAAGAAGUUUGUUGGGAGUCUUCUUACUCCCAUCUUCAUGCACCUUGGGAUUUCAACAGUAGGAUACCUACAAAGAGGGAGUGCUAGAUGAUAUUGGUGAUGAUGCAAGCCACACACCAGAGAACGCUCCUAGAGCAUUAGUAUGAGCCAGCCACGCACCAGAGCACGCUCCCCAUCACCAGCUGCUGAAGAGUCUGGAGAUAAUCCAGAGGAGUCAUAUGAGGUGGAUUAAGAGGAGUAGUCCAAUUUGUUUUUCUUUCCUUAUGUACUUUUUAUGUUUUUAUCAAAUCAGUUGAACUUCAUCUAUUUUUACUUCUACGCUUUAGGAUGAUCAAAAUUUGGUAUUAUCUAUGAUUAUGUUGCUAUUUAUUUAAGUUA